UACGGAGGGUGCAAGCGUUGUCCGGAUUCAUUGGGCGUAAAGAGCUCGUAGGCGGCCACUCAAGUCGAAUGUGAAACCUCGAGGCUUAACCUCGAGCCUGCAUUCGAUACUGGGCGGCUAGAGUCUGGUAGGGGGAUCUGGAAUUCCUGGUGUAGCGGUGGAAUGCGCAGAUAUCAGGAGGAACACCGGUGGCGAAGGCGGGAUCCUGGGCCAGUACUGACGCUGAGGAGCGAAAGCGUGGGGAGCAAACAGG
rnacentral:rRNA from 1 species